UAAAGGUAUUCCGGUAGACGAUGGGGAUGCGUUCCAUUAGAUAGUAGGCGGGGUAACGGCCCACCUAGUCUUCGAUGGAUAGGGGUUCUGAGAGGAAGGUCCCCCACAUUGGAACUGAGACACGGUCCAAACUCCUACGGGAGGCAGCAGUGAGGAAUAUUGGUCAAUGGGCGAGAGCCUGAACCAGCCAAGUAGCGUGAAGGAUGACUGCCCUAUGGGUUGUAAACUUCUUUUAUAAAGGAAUAAAGUCGGGUAUGGAUACCCGUUUGCAUGUACUUUAUGAAUAAGGAUCGGCUAACUCCGUGCCAGCAGCCGCGGUAAUACGGAGGAUCCGAGCGUUAUCCGGAUUUAUUGGGUUUAAAGGGAGCGUAGAUGGAUAUUUAAGUCAGUUGUGAAAGUUUGCGGCUCAACCGUAAAAUUGCAGUUGAUACUGGAUAUCUUGAGUGCAGUUGAGGCAGGCGGAAUUCGUGGUGUAGCGGUGAAAUGCUUAGAUAUCACGAAGAACUCCGAUUGCGAAGGCAGCCUGCUAAGCUGCAACUGACAUUGAGGCUCGAAAGUGUGGGUAUCAAACAGGAUUAGAUACCCUGGUAGUCCACACGGUAAACGAUGAAUACUCGCUGUUUGCGAUAUACUGCAA
rnacentral:rRNA from 1 species